CAGAGGGUGCAAGCGUUAAUCGGAAUUACUGGGCGUAAAGCGAGCGUAGUCGGUUAUUUAAGUCGGAUGUGAAAUCCCCGGGCUCAACCUGGGAAUUGCAUUCGAUACUGGAUAGCUAGAGUUCGGCAGAGGGAAGCGGAAUUUCUGGUGUAGCGGUGAAAUGCGUAGAUAUCAGAAGGAACAUCAGUGGCGAAAGCGGCUUCCUGGACCAGAACUGACGAUCAGGCUCGAAAGCGUGGGGAGCAAACAGGAUUAGAUACCCUGGUAGUCCACGCCAUAAACGAUGACAACUAGACGUUGGGGACAUAUGGUCCACAGUGUCGCAGCUAACGCGUUAAGUUGUCCGCCUGGGGAUACGGCCGCAAGGUUG
rnacentral:rRNA from 1 species